UGUGGAAUUUUGGACAAUGGGCGAAAGCCUGAUCCAGCAAUGCCGCGUGUGUGAAGAAGGCCUUCGGGUUGUAAAGCACUUUUGUCCGGAAAGAAAUCCUUGGCUCUAAUACAGUCGGGGGAUGACGGUACCGGAAGAAUAAGCACCGGCUAACUACGUGCCAGCAGCCGCGGUAAUACGUAGGGUGCAAGCGUUAAUCGGAAUUACUGGGCGUAAAGCGUGCGCAGGCGGUUUGCUAAGACCGAUGUGAAAUCCCCGGGCUCAACCUGGGAACUGCAUUGGUGACUGGCAGGCUAGAGUAUGGCAGAGGGGGGUAGAAUUCCACGUGUAGCAGUGAAAUGCGUAGAGAUGUGGAGGAAUACCGAUGGCGAAGGCAGCCCCCUGGGCCAAUACUGACACUCAUGCACGAAAGCGUGGGGAGCAAACAGGAUUAGAUACCCUGGUAGUCCACGCCCUAAAACGAUGUCAACUAGUUGUUGGGGAUUCAUUUCCUUAGUAACGUAGCUAACGCGUGAAGUUGACCGCCU
rnacentral:rRNA from 1 species